rnacentral:lncRNA from 1 species
CGCCAUCCAGCGAAUCCGAGGACGACUGAGAAAACGGAGAGUCCUGUUCGGAGGACUUAAAAACAACGAACGCCUUGCCAAGGGGUAAACUUGAUAGUUAUCUUUUUCCUUUCAAUUAUUUAAAAUAGUUUGCUUAGUUAAUCAGGUUCAUAUCAUCUUGAAAAGAAAAUAAAACUGUUAAAAAUAGUAAGCCCCAUGUGAGUAUGCUCAUGGCAUAAAACCCAUAAGUACAUUCACUGUGGUGGCAUAAAAAUGAAAUAAAUAUAUUCCUGUCCUAUAAAAAUAAAAUUGUAAAAAUAAGAUUGUGAACGUACUAAAGAGUGUAACAUUUAUUAAGGAGGCUCAACAUGAUAAAGGCUAGAUAUUUAUGCUAACACUUAACUAGUUCCACAAAGCUUUGUUGUCUAUUUGAGCUCCACAGAAUUCAAGGAUCAAAGAAGACUAGCAGACGGAGGACAUCCUAAUCGCUGUCAGGGUGCUGCCAACAUUCAAAUACACCUCCACCACCUGCUAGCCACAUGAGAAGAAAUUACGUCAAAAUCCAGCUUGGGGGAGAGCACCCCCAUUUAUCCAGCUAAGUGUUCUACUCACGUUUAUACUUUACUCAAAUAAUAAAAAGAUGCAUGAUCAUGAAAACCAAAAUAAAGAUUUUAUGUUUAUAUCUUUGCUUAGUUUGCUAAAUAAAUAAAUAAAUAAAAUUUGCUAUGAACCCUUAUGAUAAACUCUCACAUGGAAAUGAUGGAUAGUUGCUCUACCAUGACUAGUUCUCAAAAUUGAAAUCUCUCUCAAGUUUAGGCAUGACUGUUAUUAAUUAAAAUUUGCUCUAAACCUGAACUUGUGGAAAGAGUACUUGAUCUAAAGUCUAAGUCGUUAACAGAUAUGAUAUGGGAAGGUUGAGCUGCUGUUUAUCUGUUCCUAGAGAUGCUAGAAUUCUGGAGAAUUUUAUCUUUGAAAAUCUUUAAAAUGUUGCAUGAUGAGUUCCUGUAUGAUGAGAGUUUAAAUUCCUACCACAGCCAUAUAUACAUGCUUGUUAGACUAUGAACCAUACAUUUACUUUUUACUGCUUAUGAGCAUUGAGUGUGGUCAAGCUGUGUAGACCCUUAGGAGCUUGUCAUGUGGUUAAAUCAAGAUUCACUUGCACGUUCACUCGUACAUACUACUUCUACUUCGGAAGUAUGCAUCCACAUAUAUCCAUCCAUUUCCAUCUCCAGAACCACCCAAAAAUAUUCUACUCCUAAUCCGGGAGAGAAUAGCCAAAAACAUUCUCCUAUUUCUGUUUUUCCCUGUGAAAUAAAUGCUCAAGUUAUCAUGGUUACUACCACUUGCUAUAUUAUUUCAGGAGAUAAGUGCUCUAAAAAAAGAAAUAAAAUACGAAAAAAUAUGAGGAAAUAGAAAGGGGCAAGUGCCCGGAACCUCGAAAGAAAAGAAAAAAAAGUGAGACGAGAGGUAAAAAUGGACAAGUGUCCGAUAGUAGAAUUAGGGGUACAAGAUACCCACCUGAGAGAAAAGAAAAAGAAAAUAUAGAGCAUCUCAUUCUCCCUAAAAGUUUCAAAAGAGCAAGAAAGGUAUGUAUCCCCUCAAAAGAGCACAAGUAGAAUUAGACUUUCACCAUUGUUAUCACUAUCAUUACCAUACACCAUUCAUUCGCCACACAUGCACAUCUUGAUUUGACUUAUUGACUUGUUCUUCUGGAUCCAUAGUUUGACUAUGCAAUAAAUGUCUUGUAAGUAUGUAUUAGCUAUCUCCCACCUCUGAGCUCCAGAUAUCAAAAGCCUUAUUAGAGUAGGGUGAGAGAGAAGGCAAUGCCACUAUGCCUUAUACCACAAAUACCACAUACUUUGAGAGAAGGCAUAUACCAUUACUGCCUUGGUAAGGAUCCAGAAAUACUACAAAAGAGAGACUAGAGAGAGUCAUACAAGGAAUCUCUGAGUUUUAUUUGAAAAUCUGCAAAAACUCCAGAGCUAUAGUUAAUCGAAGAACAAGAGACAUGGCGCUUGACUAGACCGUUCUAUCUUUUAACUGCUCAAGACACAAGUGACGGUUGCAAGCCCCAUGGUGGAAGGUACAAUGGGUAAGUUUAAAUCUUAACAGUUUACCCUAACCCAGAGAUAAGAUCUUAUUUGAACGCAUGUGUAUCUUUAAGGCAUGAAACCACUGCAGAAACUCUUGAGCCCGUCUUUGCUCAGGGACAAGCAAAGGUUAAGCUUGGGGGAGCUUGUUGAUGGUCCUUAAUGCUCACAUUUAACCAUCAACUAAUCAUGGAAAAGGAUCUAAACGGAACCAACACCUAGACUUAGGGUUUUAUCUGACAGAAUUCCACAAGUUUUGGUGUUUGCCUAUUUCUGCAGGGGGUUAUCAGGAAAUAUGGAAGAAAGGCCCACACCUCGUGUUUACAUAGAGAUAUUAACGUGCUGCACAAUUUUCUACCAUCUAGAAGACUCUAGAAGCCACGGGAAUGAACGGGAGGCCGAUCGGGCCCGGGGGUAGGGCGCCCGCCCUCCCCCCUUGGGUGCCCGCCAAGCUACAGUAACCAAUCAGCUUCAACUUUGGGGAUUAUGCUCCACCGACCUAAUACUUCAAGGAAAACCACACGAUCAAUGUCGGUUUGAUCCGACGGCCCAGAUUCAUCUGAAAAGACUAUAUAAGAAAGGCCCCUGGCCCCUGGAGAUCAUACCUCUUCUACAGAAUCAAAGCUAGGGUUUCAAUUCUUCAUCCAAGUAGAGAGGAUCCCUCUAGUUCUUCUAGUUCUAGUUCUAGUUCAUCUAGUUCUAGUUAUAGUUCCUCUAGUUCUAGUUCUAGCUAGUUCUAGUUGUAAUCUAGAAAAUAGGGAGAGAGAAGAGGAGAGCGGAGGAGGAGCCGGAUCUGUCGGAUCUUCCUCAACAUUAUACUUUUGCAGCAACUGGUUUGUUCUUCAUCGUUCUCCAAGUUCUUCAAUUCAUAAUUCCUGAGUUCUCUAAUUACUUUUAUUUACAUUCAAGUUAUUUAUUGGAUUCCCGCUUGCAUCAAGUGCUCUAGUCUUUAUAAUGCUAGAGUAGUAAUUAAUAGAUUAGACGUGGUGUUUAGUCUUGCGAUUACCUGGAAUUGCACCCAAUCCGGCGGAUUGUUGUGGUAGCCUUAGGGUAGUGACAGCCCUAACGGUCGACGUAUUCCACCUCGUUCGGAUCGGUGUUUGUGGGACCGUAGUCAGACCUUCCUAGCCCCCUUCUCAUCUAUUUCUAUGGUUAGUGCUCUGAUGUCCCGAUAUAGAUAAUCUUUGAAGUAAUUCUUGAUUCUUUGAUCAACUAGAGAACUCUCAGGAAACUUCCUCUCUUCCCACCAAAAAUAAUUAUAUGGUUAUCCUUGGGCGAUCUUGAUUUUAAUUAAUACACUCACAUUCCCUGUGGAAAAUCGAUACUCUGGAAUACUCCCGGGUGAAAGCUACAUCGGUAUCCAUGCGCUUGCGGAUUUUUCUGUUUGCGUUUAAAAUAACCAACAGGCGGUUUACUUACGACAACCGUCACGGUUAAUGUAAGAUUAACCGUGGCGGUUUGCUUACAGUGACCGCCAUGGUUAAACAAUUAUCCGUAACGGUCGCCCGGCUGGCAGCCCAGCGCAGGUUAACCGAGGCGGGCCGCCAGCCGGCCGCCUUGUUGGCCCAAAACAAAAUGUCUCCUAAAAUUUUUUUUGUAGUAGUGAAAUUAUGUUGGUGAAUUGGUUUCCCCUCCAACACCAACCUAAGCGUGCCUAUAUCAAGAUUGACUCAACAAUAUCUGCAAUAUUUAUUAUAGACAUAUCCAUCGAUAACCACCCCUUUAAAGUUUUUAUAAAUAGAAAGGAAUAGGGGGUUGGAGAUCUCAAAUGCAGUGAUGUUGGAGAGACCAACAGAUUGGGGAGAUGUUUUAUAUGAGCAAGGACUUGGUGAGGUAUUUAUGAAAUAACUUCCAUGCUAACUGUUCUUUCUCUCAUUCUCAAACUCCAAGGAUGAUUCUUCAUGAAUGCUUAAAAUUCCUCUAGGAUUGUCUCUCAAGUUUGUUUUAUCCAUCCAUUUAAUGGUCAUAACACAUGGAUUUUUAAUGCCCUCUAGCCAUUGAUGUUGCUCUUCUCGAUCCUCCUUGUGGUCUUGGUGACUCUUAUGAAUGGGAUGUCUAGAUAGAUUCAUAGGAUCAUCGGGAGGUUCAAGGGAAAGAGCAUAGGAGAAAUUAAUAGGCUCAAGGAUGGGUUGGAUAGUCGAAUCAUGGGAUUGGAAUGUUUGGAAAUUGGCUAUUGAAACAUCCUUUCCUUAUCUGGGAGAUGAUUCCUUCUCUAUCUCUAGGAAUUUUUUAUGAAGACUAGUGCAAGAAGGAUGCCCACAAAUGAAGACAUACCUUCCUUUACUAGUACAUAAUGAAAGAAGGACUCUCCCAAAUAUUAUAUGAUUAAGACCAAUGUGAAAAUAUCAAGGAAAACAUGGUCUUGUAGGGCUAGGUUUAAACCAGAAUUUUUAGAAAGAUUAAUAGAUUCCCUAGGUGUAGCUAAAAGUUCAAUAUCUUCUUGAUUAAGAGAUAGGACCUCAGCUAUAGAAAAGGGUUGGUUUUGACCUAUUGCAAUCAACUCCGGACACAGAUCAUAAUUAGGGGCAGGACUUGUUGACUUCCAUGGUCUAUGGCUGGGCUCCGAAGGUGCAAAGAAUUCAAUAAUAGGUAUGGAAUUUGAGUUAUCCAUAAAGAUGGAAAAAAUAAAAAGAUAAAAGAAUAAAAGAAUAAAAGUAUAAUACAAGAUAAUAGCAAGAUUCAAAGUUAUCUCAGCAAACCGUCUUUCUCCCAGGCAACGGCGCCAGAAAUGCUUGUUGAUAUUUGGCGAUGCCAUCAGGAAAUGAUCCGCAAGCGCACGGAUAUCGGUGAGCAUUUCACCCGGGAGGUUAUCGAGAGUAUCGUAUUUAUAUUUUUACCACUGGGAGAAAGCGUGCAUCUGACUAACCAAAUCUAUUGCUACUACCCUUUAGGCUACAAAGAAUGUUUCUCGAUGUGAGCGAUGUAUAGAGAAGACUGCAACCGUAGUCUCGUUCUAACCUUGGUAAGGAUGAUCUACUGUUCUAUUGGGGAGGCUCAGGGAAUCUAGACACCACAAAGGAUGUUCAACCCGCACCUAUAAACCCUAUCAUUCCUGCUAACGAGAUAUGGUCUGCAAAGGUAACUCGGAAAUGUCACGUUCCUCGCUACUACCACGGUCUAGCUAGUCAGGGGAUAUCUAUGAGUACCCUAGCCCAAACACCACGUUUAUGCUAGCAAUGAUUACUCUAAACUCAACCGGAAGAGAUUAAAGUAAACUCAUAAACCAAAGAACAAUAAAACAAGGACUUACUAGAAUUAGAAGUCGAAUUACAGAAGAAUCCUAGGAGCAAGCUUCGGGUUAGGAGAACUUGAUCCCGCAGGUACAACCUCGCAGUAGACACCGACAGGCCGGGCUUCCUCCGAUCUACACCUCCACUCUAUCUCUCUCAAUCUAGUAGAAACUAGAAGAUCUAAUUCUACUCACAUUGGAUGCUAAGCCCUAAGUCUAUUUAGAGGAGAGGUAUUCCUUCGAGGGCGCCUCUCAACUCUAUGAUGAACUUGUUCUCCUCCAGGGGCCAGGGGGUCUGGUUAUAUAGUCCUUCCAAGUGAAUAUGGGCUGUCGGAUCAAACCGACAUUGAUUGAACGGUUAUCCUUCAUCCUUUAGGUCGGUGGAGCGUAAUCCUCGAAGAGAGUCCUGAUUGGACUCUGAGACAGGGUGGGCGCCCAAGGGGGAGGGCGGGCGCCCUGCCCCGGGCCCGUUCGCCUUCCCGUUCGUUCCCGUGGCUUCUAGAGUCUUCUAGAUGACAGAAAAUUGCACGGCACGUUAAUAUCUCUAUGUAAACCCGGCAUGUGGGCCUUUCUUCCGUAUUUCCUGAUAACCCCCUGCAGAAAUAGACAAACACCAAAACUCGUGGAAUUCUAUCACAUAAAACCCUAAGACUGGGUGUUGGUUGCAUUUGGAUCCUUUUCUUUAUUUAUUUGAUGAUUAUAUUUGGUACUUAAGGACCGUCAACACUUAGGUUGGUGUUGGAGGGGAAACCACUUCACCAAAAUAAUUUGAUGGUUUCCCAAGGACAAGCUUAGUGUCCUAAAACAAGCACUUAUCAGAUCGUAACAUGAACUUUUAAUUAUUUGCAACAUUGCCUUGUGUAUUGAGCAUAUAAAGAUAUUUGUAGAAAUAUUCCUUUGGGUAUUCGUGUCACUAACCUUUCUAGGAUUGGAGCAAGAAGAUCUGAGGAAUGACAAGCGCAAGGUAUGCCCAACCAAUCAUCAUGCAACAUUGAAUUAAAAUUCAUCAAAUCUUGAAUUUUGCAAAAUUCAAGCUUGGGGGAGUACUUCACAUGAAAACAUCCUUUGCCAUGUUGCUAUGUUAGUUGUCCCUACCUUUGAGACAUGCUUGAUUUGUUAAAUACUAGUCACACUACUUCAUAUCCAUUUGAGUAGAUCUCUAUAAAUGCUCUCAUACAACCUUUAUUUGCUUUAGUAUAUGUCUAGGUUUGGAGUAGUUUUAUUUAUCUCUUAAUUAAGCAUGGUGCUUAGUUUAGGAAUGAUGAUCUUACUUCCAAGGGAUUUUAAAUUAAGCAUGGUGCUUAGGUUAAAAUGCCCUUCUAAAUCAAAUUAGACAUGGUAUCUAGGUUGAUUUUUGAGCCAAUACUAUGCUAUAGCAGAUAUUUAAUAUUUUUGUUGGACUAACCCCUGCAAGAAAACAUUCAAUAUCAACCUAGGAAGUUCUGAGAUACAAACUCACAUUGGAGACAAAGGAGAGACAUGAAGUUUAACGAUUUGCACAAGGAAUACAUAGCUCAUUCAUCAUAGAGAGAUGAUCCAUGGAACAAGACAAAGGGUGCCACAAACACGAUGCACAACCGCUAAGAAAGGAAAGCUUCCACAAGGUGAUACUGUACCAUCACUCUUCAAGUAAGGUAACAUCUUAAGGUACUUGACUAUCGCUUUUAUAAGCUUCUCCUUGGUUCUGGCGUUCAUAUAAAUAAAGAGACAAACAUGUAUGAUUUAUAACUCUAAAUUAACCAACCUAAGUGAUUCAUCAUGUUUAGUCCUUUAAUCUUUGUUCUUAGUACUACCUUCGUGAUCCCACACUCCUAAUCAUAUAAGCUAAAAUGUUGCACAUUCAAUCUUUGGAAGAUAUAAACAAAACAUAAAUAUAGACAGAUUAUCUUUCCAUUAGGUCGAUCGAUCUGAUCAGACAAAUGUUUUAAAUGCUACAAUCAUGAUCUUAUUAUCCAUCAACUUUGUCUUGCUCACUAUUCUUAAGGUUAGAGAAUAACAAAUACACUUUUGGUUUUGUUGGUGUUUUUCACCAACAGAGCCCAUGCACUUGAUCUCUGCCUUGUCUCUAUGAGCAGGUACACUUCAAGCAUAAUAUGAAGGAGUUUUACAACUCCUAGACUCCACCAAGUGAAGAACCUGGAUCUACGAGCACAAACAUACUGGACACUCAGGCAAUCACUGCCCUAAGAUGCUUGAGGACGUAAACUACAUCAACAACAAACAACAACUACUACUACUACAAACAUCCUCAACAAAAUCAAGAGAGGCGAUCCAGGACGCCCCGUCAUCCCGAUCUCCAUCGGCAUGGUGGACUUCCCAGAAGCACUCUGCGACUUUGGCUCCAGCGUCAACAUUAUGCCCAGGCUUGUAGAUCGGACACUAAGUUUCGCAAAGGGAAUAUUGAAGAACCUCUGCGUUCGAGUUGGUACAUUGUACACCCUAGCAGCCUUCGUGGUGAUAGAGACUUGUACUGACGAGAGGGCACCCAUCAUCCUAGGGAGGCCAUUCCUGAACACCUCGGGAGCUAUCAUCUACGCUAGUGCUGCCAAGAUCGGUUUCUUCAUCAAGGGGAGGAAGGAGACGUUUACCUUCAAGAACAAGACUACACAAAUCUCAGAGCAAUCCCGACAUGAACCAACGAAGAGGACCAACAGGAGGAACAGGAACAAGCAAAUGUGGACCGAGUCAGCUAAGAUGGACUCUGCAGUUCAAGGAGGUCAAGAUCGUCGACUUAAGUCACCGUUCCUUACCAAAAAGGACAACAUAGCUCCAGAUGGCAGAUCAGACAUUCCGAAAGGUUGAAGACUCUAAGCAGGUCAGGACAAUAAGAAGACGACGCAACCAGAGGAGGCAAAUCAUCAAGGACGGAUGGGUAGACUAUGAAGGAGAAGUGGUAAGGUCUGAAGACAUACAGCUCGAACAGAACUGUCCUGAGGACACCGUAGCACCGAGUCAGGUGUGGAGAGAGAAGAUAGUUAUACACGAAGAGGAGGCGCCGCCGGAACCACCGACUAUGCCAUCCAGCGAAUCCCAGGACGACUGAGAAAAUGGAGAGUCCCAUUCGGAGGACUUAAAAACACCGAACGCUUUGCCAAGAGGUAAAUUUGGUAGUUAUCCUUUCCCUUUCAAUUAUUUAAAAUAGUUUGCUUAGUUAAUCAGGUUCAUGCUAUCUUAAAAAGAAAAUAAAAAUGUUAAAAAUAGUAAGCUCCAUUUGAGUAUGCUCAUGGCAUAAAACCCUUAAGUACAUUCACUAUGGUGGCAUAAAAAUAAAAUGAAUAUAUGUCCUAUAAAAAUGAUAAUAUAAAAGUAAAUUUAUGAUCCUACCAAGUAAUAUUUAUUAGGAGGAAUCUCAAUAUGAUAAAGGCUAAGAGAUUUUAUGCUAACACAUAACCAGUUCCACAAAGCUUUGUUGUCUAUUUGAGCACCACAGAAUUCAAGGAUCAAAAAAGACUAGCCAGUGGAGGACAUAAUAAUCGCUGUCAGGAUGCUGCCGACAUUCAAAUACAGCUCCGUCACCUGCUAGCUACAUCAGAAGAAAUUACGUCAAAAUCCAGCUUGGGGGAGAGCACCCCCAUUUAUCCAGCUAAGUGUUUCUACUUGCGUUUAUACUUUACUCAAAUAAUAAAAAGAUGCAGAAUCAAGAAAACCCAAAUAAUUUUUUUUGUGUGCUUAUAUAUAUCUUUGCUUAGUUUGCUAAAUAAAUAAAUAAAUAAAGUGUCUACGCCAAACUGAACUUAAAUGAUAAACUCUUACUUGGAUAUGAUAAAUAGUUGCUCUGCCAUGUACCUAGUUUUCAAGUUUGAGCUCUCUCUCAAGUUUAGGUAUAACUGUUAUAAUUUAAACCUCCUCUAAACCUGAACUUGUGGGAAGAGUACUUGAUGUGAAGUAUAAGUCGUUAACGGAUAUGAUAUGGGAAGGUUGAGCUGCUAUUUAUCUGUUCCUAGAGAUGCUAGAAUUCUGGAGAAUUUUAUCUUAAAAAAAUCUUUAAAAUAACAUAUGAUGAGUUCCUAUAUGAUAAGAGUUAAAAUUCCUACCACAGCCAUAUAUACAUGCUUAUUAGACUAAGAACCAUACAUUUACUUUUUACUCCUUAUGAGCAUUGAGUGUGGUCAAGCUGUGUAGACCCUUAGGAGCUUGUCAUGCGGUUAAAAUCAAGAUCCACUUGCACGUUCACUCACACAUGCUGCUUCUACUCCGGAAGUACGCAUCCACAUACAUCCACUCAAUUCCAUCUCCAGAUUCACCUAAAAUUAUUAUACUCCUAAUCUAGGAGAGAAUAGCCAAAAACAUUCUCCUAUUUUUUUCCCUGUGAAAUGAACGCUCGAGUUAUCUUGGUUACUACCACUUGCUAUAUUAUUUCAGGAGAUGAGUGCUCCAAAAAAAGAGAUAAAAAAUACGAGGAAAUAAAAAGGGGCAAGUGCCCAGAACCUCGAAAGAAAAGAAAAAGUGAGACGAGAGGUAAAAAUGGACAAGUGUUCGACAGUAGAAGUAGGGGUACAAGAUACCCACCUGAGAGAAAAGAAAAAGAAAAUAUAGAGCAUCUCAUUCUCCUCAAAAAGCUUCAAAGUGCAAGAAAGGUAUGUAUCCCCUAAAAAGAGCAAAAGUAGAAUUAGACUUUCACCAUUGUUAUCACCAUCAUCACCAUACACCAUUCACUCGCCACACAUGAACAUCUUGUUUUGACUUAUUGACUUGUUUCUCUGGAUCCAUGGUUUGACUAUGCAAUAAAUGUCUUGUUAGUAUGUAUUAGCUGUCUCCCACCUAUGAGCUCCAGAUAUCAAAACCUUAUUAGAGUAGGAUGAGAGAGAAGGCAAUGUCACUAUGCCUCCUACCAAAAAUACCACAUACUUUGAGAAGGCAUAUACCAUCACUGCCUUGGAAAGGAUCUAGAAAUACCAUAAAAGAGAGAUUUGAGAGAAUCAUAUAAGGAGUCUCUGAGUUUUAUUUGAAAAUCUACAAAAAUUCCAGAGCUAUAGCUUAUCAAGAACAAGAGACAUGGCGCUUGACUAGACUGUUCUAUCUUUUAACUGCUCAAGACACAAGUGACCGUUGCAAGCCCCAUGGUGAAAGGUAAAAUGAAUAAGUUUUAAGUCUUAAAAAUUUACUCUAACUCAGAGAUGAGAUCUUGCUUGAACGUAUGUGUACUUUUAAGGCAUGAAACCACUGCAGAAACUCUUGAGUCCAUCCUUGCUCAAGGACGAGCAAGAGGUAAGCUUGGGGGAGUUUGUUGACGGUCCUUAAGUACCAAAUAUAAUAAUCAAAUAAAUAAAGAAAAGGAUCCAAAUGCAACC